GUCAGCUUAUCUGCCUAACCUGGGAUUCGUUGAUCUACACAACCUACACGCUACUCAAUCUGAUGUCAGAAAGCUUCAGCAUGACUUAAUUUGUUUAAGUCAAAGCUUAUGGGAAAUACAAGCAAUUUCCAGUGACUUGAUAAUACCAAAGAAAAAAAGCAUAAAUGCAUGUCUUGGAGAUUGCAUCUGUAUAGCAGCAGCAAGCAGAUACUUCAGCAAGGAAUAAAUGGUUCCAAAAAGAGUUAUAAUACAGCAGCAGGGAGGAAAUCAUUUGUUCACUUGACUUCAGCUCAAGAUUCUACUCAAGUUUGAUUGCAAAAGCCCAUUCAUAUGGAAGAAGAGACAAAAGGCCAACAACUCUCUGGGUAGAGUGUCAAAGGCUCAGUGUUUACAAGAGGAAAUUGAGGGGAAGAUUAGAGAAUCAGUUUCUCCUGGGGAAUGAUGAUGGCGUAGGGGUCCUUUGUAGGGGAAAGUCCUUUGCUAGGAUUAAAGGCAGGAUUAUUGGUAGAGAGUUGAGAAAUUGAAAUGGAGAGCCUCUUAAAAUGGCAAUUUAGUCGGAAUAUCCAGGGAGUUCUUGAAACGUGAAUUCUAAGGAAAUGGCUAGUACUUAAGGAAAAAAGAUAAACUCAAACUCAGUGUUUCAAGUGAUGAAACUGCACGUGGUCAGGAAGGUGAUAGACUUGCCACUGCCUUCAGAGGAAAAACAAGAGACCAGUAACACAGUGACUCCUGUCAGCU